rnacentral:rRNA from 1 species
AGGGAACGCUGGCGGCAUGCCUUACACAUGCAAGUCGAACGGCAGCACGGGUGCUUGCACCUGGUGGCGAGUGGCGAACGGGUGAGUAAUACAUCGGAACAUGUCCUGUAGUGGGGGAUAGCCCGGCGAAAGCCGGAUUAAUACCGCAUACGAUCUACGGAUGAAAGCGGGGGACCUUCGGGCCUCGCGCUAUAGGGUUGGCCGAUAGCUGAUUAGCUAGUUGGUGGGGUAAAGGCCUACCAAGGCGACGAUCAGUAGCUGGUCUGAGAGGACGACCAGCCACACUGGGACUGAGACACGGCCCAGACUCCUACGGGAGGCAGCAGUGGGGAAUUUUGGACAAUGGGCGAAAGCCUGAUCCAGCAAUGCCGCGUGUGUGAAGAAGGCCUUCGGGUUGUAAAGCACUUUUGUCCGGAAAGAAAUCCUUGGCUCUAAUACAGUCGGGGGAUGACGGUACCGGAAGAAUAAGCACCGGCUAACUACGUG